rnacentral:rRNA from 1 species
AUUGAACGCUGGCGGCAUGCUUUACACAUGCAAGUCGAACGGUAACAGGCCGCAAGGUGCUGACGAGUGGCGAACGGGUGAGUAAUGCAUCGGAACGUGCCCAGUCGUGGGGGAUAACGCAGCGAAAGCUGUGCUAAUACCGCAUACGAUCUAUGGAUGAAAGCGGGGGACCGUAAGGCCUCGCGCGAUUGGAGCGGCCGAUGUCAGAUUAGGUAGUUGGUGGGGUAAAGGCCCACCAAGCCAACGAUCUGUAGCUGGUCUGAGAGGACGACCAGCCACACGGGGAAUGGGACACGGCCCAGACUCCUACGGGAGGAAGCAGUGGGGAAUUUUGGACAAUGGGCGCAAGCCUGAUCCAGCAAUGCCGCGUGCAGGAAGAAGGCCUUCGGGUUGUAAACUGCUUUUGUACGGAACGAAACGGUCUGGGUUAAUACCCUGGGCUAAUGACGGUACCGUAAGAAUAAGCACCGGCUAACUACGUGCCAGCCGCCGCGGUAACAC